UUGUGAUGGUGAUGGUGGGGGUGGUGGUGAUGAGUGACGAUGGCAUGAGAGAUGGUGGUGAUGACAAGAAUAGUGAUAGGUGAUGCCAGUAGCUGCCAUUUGUUGAGUGCUCCCAUUGUGCCACAUCUACUUCUGAUCAGAUCUCUCAAUUUCUUUGGUUAAUAUUAUAGAAAGAGGAAAUGAGAUCAUCAAUGCAAACGCUUCUUAAAAGGAUUAAACCAACCAUAGCAUUUACAAUCCAUUUAUUAAACACUAACUACAGUCCUACACUGAGCUAAGUGCUUUAGACAGGUAUUUUCUCGUGACAACCCUGUGAUUAUUAGUUGGGCUCCAUUUUGACCAGCCCCCACCACUCCCAUUUCCCUUUGCCCCACAUCUCGGCAACCAGCAGGAAGGCCAGACACUCCCUCCCUUGGCACCAGUCGGGAAAUCCGAACUGCAGAUCCCUGCCUGAGUGUGGGAACUCGGACCUCAGCCACACCGUCUACAGUGGAAACCAGAGGCCCUGCCACUUCCAGUCGUUCUCAGGCCAACUCGGGUGCCCGCCCUGCCCUGCCCCCACCCAGGAAGUCUCAUGUGCAAGCGACAAAUAUUUUUCUGCUCUUUUAGUGCAUCUGUGACAUCAUCACUUUCAACAUGUGAGUCAAAUUUGGGUUGGGGAGGCUGAUCCUGCCCUCUGCCCAGGGUAACCACAAAGUAAACUCCAUGAGAUAGGGAAUCUUACUGUUCCCAUUUUACUGGUAAUGAAACAGUAUUCGAGAGGUAAAUUAACUUGCCUCCCAUCACGUUAGGCUAGUAAAUGUCAAAGAUCAGAUUCUGUCCAACUCCAGGGCCUGAGUGCAAAUCGACAAGUCGCUAUUUUCUUCAUUUCUAAGGGUGUUUUAAAAGGUGAAAUGGGAUACUCAUGGUGGAAGAUCCUUGCAAAACUGAACCGUUUGCUGUGGUGUGUGUCUGUGCCCCUCAAAGCUCACACGCUGAAAUUCCAGCCCGCAAGGGGACCGUAUCAGGAGGUGGGGCCUUUGGGAGGUGAUUGGGCCAUGAGAGCUCUGCCCCCAUGGAUGGGAUUAUGGUCUCUAUGAAGGAGACCCAAGAAAGACCCCUCAUCUCUUCCACCACGUGAAGACACGGUGAGGUUCCACCUAUGAACCGGGAGGUUGGCCCUCACCAGACACCAAACCCGCCAGCCUUCGAUCUUGGACUUCUCAGCCUCCAGAACUGUGAGAAAUAAUUUUGUGUUGCUUAUAGAGCUACUCAGUUGUGGUAUUUUGUUAUAGAAGGCCAAACAGACGGAGACAGCACUCGUUCACUUUCUCAUUCAUUCAGUUAGUCAACAAGUUAUUAACUGUGCUCCUUCAAUUCACCAAGCUGAGACCAGGUUAGGGGGACAGACAUUUGGACAAGCAGAGUCCUUUGAGUCAACUAAAACCCAACACUCCUCUGAAAGGCUAGAGGAUCCUGGGGCAAGGUGAGGCCAGCCAGGCCAACCUGCUGUGAAAAUGCUUGGAAUGCAGCCAGCCAAAAUGGGCAGGAAGCCGGGAGUAAAUAUCGACCUUGGCUAAUCCAACCAGAUGUUAUUUCCCAGGAUUUUGAAUCUUACGGGUAUGAAGUAAGGACACGAGGAGGAGCUGAAGGUGCCUUAUCACAGUGGCCCCAGUGACACGCUGCUGCCUGGCCCUAGAAAAAGCCUUUGGUUCUCACCUACCAAUUCUGAGAAUUCUCAUGUCCUUCCAAUUCCCUUAUGCAUAAGAUGGCCAGCAUCCUCUUCUUGCUGGCAGCCAGGAAUUCUGACUGAGGCAUAAAGAACCUGAGGGAAGAGAGAGAGUGCAUUCGUCAAGUUGCCUGUUCAGGUCACAUGUAGCAGCUGGCCUUCGCGAUGGCCCCCAGUGAUACCCUAAAAUCCAUGGCUUUAUGUAGCCAUGAAUACGCUGACCUGUGUAAGCAAUAGGACGCUGCAGAAAUGACGCAGCGUGCCUUCUGAGACUGCAUCGUAAUGGCAGUGCAGCCUCCACCUUGCCUUCUCUCUUGGGUCACUCGCUGGGGACGAAGCCCACCGCCGUGUCGCGAGAGCACUCAACAGCUUCAUGCGAGGUCCACGCGGCGAGGAACGGAGGUUUUAGCCAACAGCUAACACGAACGGGCUGUCCGCACGAGUGAGCCAUCUUUGAACCGCAUACUUCAGCCCCAAACCAACCCUCGGAAGACUGCAGCCUCGGGAGCCGCAGCUAAGCCACCCCCAAAUUCCUGACCAACAGAAACUGAGGUAGUAAAACGCAUUGCUGCUUUAAACUGCUAAGUUUGGGGAUAAUUUAUUAUGCAAUAAUAGGUAACUAAUGCAUUGGAGAUGUGUGAUAACCCAUAAAAAGUCCACAGAAAGGUAAGGUUUGGGGUGACUUCUUCCAUCUGCUCAGGUUGUCCCCAGAUUUCACUCCUUCUGAGUAAGUGUCUUAGAAACGUGGGGCCCACCACCUGGGCAGCCCUGAAGCUUCAGAAAAUGCCCCUCCUGGACCCGCAUCCCACCCUGCUUCCUCCUGCUCACCCCCAGGUGGACUGGGGGUCAUUCUCUGCCCCCCACUUCCCCCGUCAGAUGGGGAAUGGGGUCUCCACCCCUGAGAAUGGGGGAG